AUUGAACGCUGGCGGCAGGCCUAACACAUGCAAGUCGAGCGGAGCGGCUGACGGGUGGGUCAUGCCUAGGACUCUGCCUGGUCGUGGGGGAUAACGUCCUGAAACGGGCGCUAAUACCGCCUUCUAUCCGCUGAUUCUCGGUCGGCUUAGCUCGUUGGUGGGGUAAAGGCCUACCAAGGCGACGAUCCGUAACUGGUCUGAGAGGAUGAUCAGUCAGACUGGAACUGAGACACGGUCCAGACUCCUACGGGAGGAAGCAGUGGGGAAUAUUGGACAAUGGGCGAAAGCCUGAGCCAGCCAUGACGCGUGUGUGAAGAAGGUCUUCGGAUUGUAAAGCACUUUAAGUUGGGAGGCGUUACCAAAAGAAUAAGCACCGGCUAACUUCGUGCCAGCAGCCGCGGUAAUUC
rnacentral:rRNA from 1 species